rnacentral:rRNA from 1 species
CCUACGGGCGGCAGCAGUGGGGAAUAUUGGGCAAUGGACGCAAGUCUGACCCAGCAACGCCGCGUGAAGGAAGAAGGCUUUCGGGUUGUAAACUUCUUUUAAGGGGGAAGAGCAGAAGACGGUACCUGAGGAAUAAGCCACGGCUAACUACGUGCCAGCAGCCGCGGUAAUACGUAGGUGGCAAGCGUUAUCCGGAUUUACUGGGUGUAAAGGGCGUGUAGGCGGGAAAGCAAGUCAGAUGUGAAAACCACGGGCUCAACCUGUGGCCUGCAUUUGAAACUGUUUUUCUUGAGUACUGGAGAGGCAGACGGAAUUCCUAGUGUAGCGGUGAAAUGCGUAGAUAUUAGGAGGAACACCAGUGGCGAAGGCGGUCUGCUGGACAGCAACUGACGCUGAGGCGCGAAAGCGUGGGGAGCAAACAGGAUUAGAUACCCUAGUAGUC